AGGGUAAUAGUUAACAAUAACAUUUAACUUGCACUUAAAAAGUAUUGCCGCUGCAAUUUACCUUA
rnacentral:tRNA from 1 species